rnacentral:rRNA from 1 species
CCCUUAACCCCUAUUAAGUAAUUCUAUAGUUUUAUAGAAGCCAUCAUGUUAAAACCAGUAAUAAGAAGANAGACCUUCUCUUAAGUGUAAGUGUAAAACAGAAAGGACACACCACUGACAAUUAUUCGCCUUUGAUCCCAUUGCAGCAANCUUCACUAGAAAACUCUGUUUCCCNNNNUAAGCGUUGACCUAACACUAGAGCACUCCAAGAAAGAUUAAAAGAAAAAGAAGGAACUCGGCAAACAUUAACCUCGCCUGUUUACCAAAAACAUCGCCUCUUGUCCUCCGUAUAAGAGGUCCAGCCUGCCCAGUGACUAAGUUCAACGGCCGCGGUAUCCUAACCGUGCGAAGGUAGCGUAAUCACUUGUUCUUUAAAUGAGGACUAGUAUGAACGGCGCCACGAGGGUUAUACUGUCUCCUUUUUCCAAUCAAUGAAACUGAUCUUCCCGUGAAGAAGCGGGAAUUUUUAUAUUAGACGAGAAGACCCUAUGGAGCUUUAAACUANUAUAGCACUGGCUUUCACUNNNUCUACCUCUCCCCUNNNNNGGGAAUUCACACAUAUUAUAGCCUNUAUGACUAUUAGUUUUAGGUUGGGGUGACCGCGGAGAAUAGAUUAACCUCCACGCUGAACAGAACUANAUCUUAAGCCAAAAGCCACAACUUCAAGCAUCAAUAAACUGACAUAAAUUGACCCAAUAUUUUGAGCAACGAACCAAGUUACCCUAGGGAUAACAGCGCAAUCCACUUCAAGAGCUCCUAUCGACAAGCGGGUUUACGACCUCNGAUGUUGGAUCAGGGUACCCCAGUGGUGCAGCCGCUACUAAAGGUUCGUUUGUUCAACGAUUAAAACCCUACGUGAUCUGAGUUCAGACCGGAGCAAUCCAGGUCAGUUUCUAUGUAUAANAAGGGCUUUUCUAGUACGAAAGGACCGNAAAAAGCAUGGCCAAUACCUCAAGCAAGCCAUCACNUAUAAUUUAUGAAUUAACCUCAAUAAAACCCAAACCUACCAUNNUUUUUCCAAGAAAAAGAAN